UGUCGACCUGUCAAUCAAAUCCACUUCACUGUGUAGCUGACCAAGCUUGCUAGCGCCAGCGUCUCGUCCAGUUGUGGUCACGCCCGCCUUUCACGUCCACGGGUGACACACAGCAGAGAGCGACGGCCAGAGUAACACUUUGAGCUGUCUGUGAUUGGCCGAGAGUUUGAGUGCGAGGCUGAUCGAUGAGAGCCUGCAGCAGGAUGAACCAACCAGAGAGGCAGUUGUCUUUUCCCCCCUAUCUCAUCCCACCCCAGCUCUUUAAAAUCAUAAGAGGUUUUGCUGUGGCUUGUCGAUCCAAGGCCAAACUGUCAUGACGACGUACACGGAUCCUGUGACGUGUGCUACCUCAUCACACCCUUUUUGUUGAACUGCAAAAUGCUGCACUGCCAAUAUUACUACAGAAUUAAAUUUUGUAACGAGGACACACUUCCACAAAGGUUGAUGGCAAAUUUCAUUUAGCAGAUGAAUUUGGUGGGUCUGCUGGUCAGUACAAGUUGUAUUUUCUGUUGCAUCAAACCACUAACUUUAGCAUCAGCAAUGCCAAGAGCGAAACAAAAAUAGUCCAACCAUUGUGCUUUGUAAAUAUGACACAAAUAAACACUCAGAAAAUA